rnacentral:rRNA from 1 species
GAUCCUGGCUCAGAUUGAACGCUGGCGGAAUGCUUUACACAUGCAAGUCGAACGGGUAGAGGGGGGCAACCCCUCGAGAGUGGCGAACGGGUGAGUAAUAUAUCGGAACGUGCCCAGUCGUGGGGGAUAACGUAGCGAAAGUUACGCUAAUACCGCAUACGAUCUACGGAUGAAAGCGGGGGAUCGCAAGACCUCGCGCGAUUGGAGCGGCCGAUAUCAGAUUAGGUAGUUGGUGGGGUAAAGGCUCACCAAGCCAACGAUCUGUAGCUGGUCUGAGAGGACGACCAGCCACACUGGAACUGAGACACGGUCCAGACUCCUACGGGAGGCAGCAGUGGGGAAUUUUGGACAAUGGACGCAAGUCUGAUCCAGCCAUUCCGCGUGCAGGAUGAAGGCCCUCGGGUUGUAAACUGCUUUUGUACGGAACGAAAAGGUUUCCAUUAAUACUGGGAGCUCAUGACGGUACCGUAAGAAUAAGCACCGGCUAACUACGUG